UACGAAGGGGGCUAGCGUUGUUCGGAAUUACUGGGCGUAAAGCGCGCGUAGGCGGUGAUCUUUGUCAGAGGUGAAAGCCUGGGGCUCAACUCCAGAAUUGCCUUUGAAACGGGAUUGCUUGAGUCCGAGAGAGGAUGGCGGAAUUCCUAGUGUAGAGGUGAAAUUCGUAGAUAUUAGGAAGAACACCGGUGGCGAAGGCGGCCAUCUGGCUCGGUACUGACGCUCAGGCGCGAAAGCGUGGGGGAGCAA
rnacentral:rRNA from 1 species